UACAGAGGUCCCAAGCGUUGUUCGGAUUCACUGGGCGUACAGGGUGCGUAGGCGGUCGGGUAAGUCUGAUGUGAAAUCUCACAGCUUAACUGUGAAACUGCAUUGGAUACUAUCCGGCUCGAGGAAUGGAGGGGAGACUGGAAUACUUGGUGUAGCAGUGAAAUGCGUAGAUAUCAAGUGGAACACCAGUGGCGAAGGCGAGUCUCUGGACAUUUCCUGACGCUGAGGCACGAAAGCCAGGGGAGCAAACGGG
rnacentral:rRNA from 1 species